rnacentral:rRNA from 1 species
UACAGAGGUCCCGAGCGUUGUUCGGAUUCACUGGGCGUAAAGGGUGCGUAGGCGGCGCCGUAAGUCAGGUGUGAAAUUUCGGAGCUUAACUCCGAAACUGCAUUUGAUACUGCGGUGCUUGAGGACUGGAGAGGAGACUGGAAUUUACGGUGUAGCAGUGAAAUGCGUAGAGAUCGUAAGGAAGACCAGUGGCGAAGGCGGGUCUCUGGACAGUUCCUGACGCUGAGGCACGAAGGCCAGGGGAGCAAACGGG